rnacentral:rRNA from 1 species
AGUGAACGCUGGCGGUAGGCCUAACACAUGCAAGUCGAACGGCAGCACAGUAAGAGCUUGCUCUUACGGUUGGCGAGUGGCGGACGGGUGAGGAAUACAUCGGAAUCUACUUUUUCGUGGGGGAUAACGUAGGGAAACUUACGCUAAUACCUCAUACGACCUACGGGUGAAAGCAGGGGAUCUUCGCACCUUGCGCGAUUGAAUGAGCCGAUGUCGGAUUAGCUAGUUGGCGGGGUAAAGGCCCACCAAGGCGACGCUCCGUAGCUGGUCUGAGAGGAUGAUCAGCCACAAUGGAAAUGAGAAAAGGUCCAGAAUCCUAAGGGAGGCAGCAGUGGGGAAUAUUGGACAAUGGGCGGAAGGCUGAUCCAGCCAUACCGCGUGGGUGAAGAAGGCCUUCGGGUUGUAAAGCCCUUUUGUUGGGAAAGAAAAGCAGCAGGUUAAAACCCCGCUGUUCUGAAGGUACCCAAAGAAUAAGCACCGGCUAACUUAGUG